CUCCUACGGGAGGCAGAGUGAGGAAUAUUGGUCAAUGGACGAGAGUCUGAACCAGCCAAGUAGCGUGAAGGAUGACUGCCCUAUGGGUUGUGAACUUCUUUUAUAUGGGAAUAAAGUUUUCCACGUGCGGAAUUUUGUAUGUACCAUAUGAAUAAGGAUCGGCUAACUCCGUGCCAGCAGCCGCGGUAAUACGGAGGAUCCGAGCGUUAUCCGGAUUUAUUGGGUUUAAAGGGAGCGUAGGUGGACAGUUAAGUCAGUUGUGAAAGUUUGCGGCUCAACCGUAAAAUUGCAGUUGAUACUGGCUGUCUUGAGUACAGUAGAGGUGGGCGGAAUUCGUGGUGUAGCGGUGAAAUGCUUAGAUAUCACGAAGAACUCCGAUUGCGAAGGCAGCUCACUGGACUGCAACUGACACUGAUGCUCGAAAGUGUGGGUAUCAAACAGGAUUAGAUACCCUGGUAGUCCACACAGUAAACGAUGAAUACUCGCUGUUUGCGAUAUACAGUAAGCGGCCAAGCGAAAGCAUUAAGUAUUCCACCUGGGGAGUACGCCGGCAACGGUGAAACUCAAAGGAAUUGACGGGGGCCCGCACAAGCGGAGGAACAUGUGGUUUAAUUCGAUGAUACGCGAGGAACCUUACCCGGGCUUAAAUUGCAUUUGAAUAAUCUGGAAACAGGUUAGCCGCAAGGCAAAUGUGAAGGUGCUGCAUGGUUGUCGUCAGCUCGUGCCGUGAGGUGUCGGCUUAAGUGCCAUAACGAGCGCAACCCUUAUCUUUAGUUACUAACAGGUCAUGCUGAGGACUCUAGAGAGACUGCCGUCGUAAGAUGUGAGGAAGGUGGGGAUGACGUCAAAUCAGCACGGCCCUUACGUCCGGGGCUACACACGUGUUACAAUGGGGGGUACAGAAGGCAGCUACCUGGUGACAGGAUGCUAAUCCCAAAAGCCUCUCUCAGUUCGGAUCGAAGUCUGCAACCCGACUUCGUGAAGCUGGAUUCGCUAGUAAUCGCGCAUCAGCCAUGGCGCGGUGAAUACGUUCCCGGGCCUUGUACACACCGC
rnacentral:rRNA from 1 species